AGUUAAUGAACUUGAAAUAAGUAUAUGUUUUGAAAACAUAAUAUAGUAUUUAAAAUUAUACUAUUAACUU
rnacentral:tRNA from 1 species